UAGGCACUGUGUGCAUAGCAUCCAUCUAUGUUUAGUGCUGUUUUCCAACUGUGUUUUACAGCUGGAUUGCAGUGCUCACACAAGACCCGUUGGCCACAGAGAAACAUGAGAUCAUAGUACUGGCCUAGUAGUGUCAUAAAAUGUUAAUUGCUGGCCAGCCUCCAAAUUCUCAAACAAUG
ensembl:snoRNA